ACCCUCCCUCCCAGACCCUCCUACUUCCUGGACAGUGUUACAAGAUGGAUGCUGUCCAGGAAGUAGGAGGGUCUGGGAGGGAGGGU
rnacentral:miRNA from 1 species